rnacentral:rRNA from 1 species
UACGAAGGGGGCUAGCGUUGUUCGGAAUUACUGGGCGUAAAGGGCGCGCAGGCGGUUCCUCAAGUCAGGCGUGAAAGCCCCGGGCUCAACCUGGGAACUGCGCUUGAGGCUGCGGGACUGGAGUUCGGGAGAGGAGAGCGGAAUUCCCAGUGUAGAGGUGAAAUUCGUAGAUAUCGGGAGGAACACCAGUGGCGAAGGCGGCUCUCUGGGCAAUGACCGACGCUGAGGCGCGAAGGCGUGGGAAGCAAACAGG